CUGGACCGUGAAAUUCCUUUCAUGUACUGCUUGUCUUGACUAUGAAUGUGUUCAUGUCAGGUCCACCAACUGCUCAGCUAAUUCCUUGUUCUUCUUGGAAACUGAGGAAAAGAAGAGACACUCUCUUACUGCCCACUAGGUGGGUGAACAAUUCAGGGAUCCCGCCACAUUUGAAGAACCACAAAAGGAGGCUGAGUGAGCUGAAAGAAAUACACAAGUGGAUCAGCAACAUGACAGCUGCUGCAGUGAAAUCUGGAUUGUAAUAUGUCAGUUUCCAACCCAUCACAUACAAUCCAGACAGAGACAUAGCUUUUUGUCUGCCUCGUUGUGAUUUCCCUGUCUGGUGCGGUUUGGGUCACAUCUGUUGGCUGCAUUCUCAUCUUCAUGAGAUCUGCAUUGACUGAUAGUUUAAACCCCAUGUUUAUCUAUGUCUGCGGCUCUUAUUUCUCUCACAGGGAAGUCUCCAGAGAAGCCCAGUAUCCCCUGAUGUGAGAAUCUUGCUUGGUUUUAUUAAUCAACAGCCAGUGCCCACAUUCAGGCAGUUCUGUAUGUUUCAUGCUAGGAUAUUGGGUGUGUUUGUUACAUAUGUCUUUCAACAUUUAUUAUAUCAGAAAAAAUUUGAUAAAAACAUAAACCUACUUCCUGAAUAUAUCACACUGAUUUAAAACAGAACUUCUCACGAUGAACAACCCAAGCUCACUGUUUCUUUGACUUUUGCAUAUUUUCUACUCGUGCAUUAUUCUGUCAUUUCAUGAUAAAAUGAUUGAAAAACACUGCUUUAACCCUCCAAACUUGGCUAGUGGCUAUAUAAGGAUUUAAACUUCAGCAUGCCUGUCUAUGCUCAAGCCUUGGAAAUCCUUUUGCAUUUCAACCAUUGCUAAUGUUUCAUAUCUGCACAUUGAAUCUAACCCUUGAUUUCUUUUGUAGACAUAUGUAAUCUGAAGGCAUGCAACAUUUUGCAAAUGUUGGCCCAUAUUUUUAUUUCAUAAGGUCUUAUUUGGUCUGUCGACCAAGUUUUGAUUACUUCCAUAUUGCUCUUAAUUGCCUUAAUAUCCCCAAAGACUUUCCUAUUCUGUGCAUCCCUUUAUCUUUGCUUCUUUUAUCUCUUGCUGUGAGAGUACAAAAUUGCUGACAUAUUCAAUGUAUUUAAAUUCUGAGUGUUGCAGAAGAGUUUUCAAAUCUGUUUUAAUUUUCUGAUACUCAGCUGAGGACCAUUACACAUUCUGUUCAGCUAAUCUGUUUUUAAUCAUAUCUGUAAAUGCUAAAGUUGUACAUGAGAGAAAUGAUGCAUAAAGUAAAACCAGACCAAGUGUACUUUCGCAUAUGUAAAACUAAAUUCUUACUUUCUUCCACUUACAAGUUUUAUUUUCCUAUAGUCGUGUAGUCUUGACUUACACCAGAAUUUAUCUGCCAAGAGUUUAUGGUACUGUAGUGAAAAAAUCCCGACUUUUUCAUGUUUAAAAUAUUUAUCGAUUAGUACUUAUCCCCUUGCUAUCAUAAUAAAAUUUGAUGAACGUAAAUGUACUUUUAAUUCCAUUUCAUAAUGUAUCAGCUAAGAUAUAUUCAGUCAUAAAUAACUAAUAAUUGCAUUAAUAGUGGUAUUGGCCAUAAAGACAGUUGCUAACUUAACAUAAAU
rnacentral:lncRNA from 1 species